GCGCUCUUGGUCUAGUGGCUAUGAUUGCCGCCUUCCAAGCGGCAGAGCGGGGUUCAAUUCCCCGAGGGCGCA
rnacentral:tRNA from 1 species